rnacentral:ncRNA from 1 species
GUGAUGUCUUAGCUGACAAAGAGCUUACAUAAUACUAUUGGCGACAUCUUCAAAUUGCGGGAACACCCUAAAGACUUCACUACCAAGCUGUCUUCGAAAGGAGCCAGUGGCCGAGCUAAUAGCCCUGGGUAUGGUAAAAACGUGAAGUAUGUGACAAUGGGCAAUCCGCAGCCAAGUCCUAAGUCUUUUUUAGAUAUGGAUGCUGUUCACAGACUAAAUGGAGAUGGGUGUACUAUACCAAGUAUGCUUAAGAUAUAGUCGGGCCAGUCUUGAGAGAGAUUG